CCAGCAUCCACCCCACCAGCAUCCACCCCAGCACCAGCAUCCACCCCACCAGCAUCCACCCCACCAGCAUCCACCCCAGCACCAGCAUCCACCCCACCAGCAUCCACCCCACCAGCAUCCACCCCACCAGCAUCCACCCCAGCACCAGCAUCCACCCCAGCAGCAUCCACCCCACCAGCAUCCACCCCACCAGCAUCCACCCCAGCACCAGCAUCCACCCCAGCAGCAUCCACCCCACCAGCAUCCACCCCAGCAGCAUCCACCCCACCAGCAUCCACCCCAGCAGCAUCCACCCCAGCAGCAUCCACCCCACCAGCAUCCACCCCACCAGCAUCCACCCCAGCAGCAUCCACCCCAGCAGCAUCCCCAGUCACAGACCCAGCUAAAUGUGUAGAAGAAGCUUGGCAGGGAACAGAUGUCUAUGUGCUGCUCUCAAAAAUAGGGCCAUACCUAAUCUUCUUUGCCGACAUCGCAAGAACCGCUCCAGAUAUGGAGUUUGAGAGUGAGGUCAUGAAUGCCUACAUGCAGCUACUGGUGCGAGACUUUAAUGCGAAGUCAACCAACAGGGCUAUGGCAAUAGACACAUUUGAGAUGUCCAACAUAUGGAAAAGGAAACAACCAAAAGUGAAGCUGGAUCCACACAUGUACAAGUACAUCCUUGGGAUCAUCAAUGAGAACCACCACUGGAAACUCACUGUCAUGAUCCCAUCACAAAAAAAGGCUCUCUUACUCGAUCCUCUUGGGGAAUCCAGUACCGACAUAAAUAGGUGCAAAGAUGUAACAAGAGCCUUCAUGAGACUUAGGGGGAUCAAUGUGUCCAGAUGGGGAUGCGACACAGUCCCACACCCUCGUCAGACUGACAGUACCUCCUGCGGGCCCUUUGUAUUGAAAUUUGCUGAAUGUAUCCUUAAAGGUGAAAACUGCAAAUUCAAUACAUCAAGAAAAGGUGUAGGGGAAAUGCGAAGGGCAAUCGCAACUGCUCUCCUUGAGAAUACUGAUGACCUGACUGAGGUAUGCCACCAAUGUGGACAGACAGACAAUCCAGAAACAGACGAGGACGUACAAUGGAUUUCCUGUGAACGGUGCCAACGCUGGUAUCAUCAGAGCUGUGCAAAACAUAUGAUGGAAUCGCCACACCUCUGUCUAGCCUGUAACACAGACAGGACAGCCAGGAGAGAGAGGGCACUGGCACGCUAGGUGGGAGUGGUGGGCGUGACAUACUGUACAUCAGUGUACCAGGUAGCUUUUGUUGAUUUUCUAUAUAUUGAACUUAUUUUGUAUUUAUUGUAGUUGGUUUGGCUUUUUGUUUUUUCUUUUUACAUAUGUUGUUCUAAGAAAUUGUUUAUAUUUGUUUUAAUUGUGUUAAUAAAUGUUUUGUUCUGAAUGUUUGAAUUGUGUUAAUAAAUGUUUUGUUCUCAA
ensembl:lncRNA